rnacentral:tRNA from 1 species
ACUUAAAUAGCUUAUUUAGAGUUUAAUAUUGAAGAUAUUAAGGAGAUUGUUAAAGUCUUUAAGUA